AUUUCUCUCAUUCAAUGGUAGCUCCAAUGUGGAACUAUUCAAAGAUGUCCUGUUUAUCAUUUCACAUUGUAUAAAAAUAAAUGAUCACAAAGUUCAACUUUUAUUUUAUGUAUUAUGAAUGCUAAUGUGGUUUUGUUGUGAUGACUGGUGUUGUAUGAGAGGCUUUUAUAUUGCAUAUCGCUGAUACACUGGGGUAUUAACAGCUGUUAUCAACUCAAACUAACCCUGAACAUCUGUCUGAAUCCCAGAUGGCACCCUUUUGACUCUCUAGAUCAUGAUAUUUCAUCAGAGCCUUGGUCAACAAGUGGAUUAUAUUGGGCAAUGUUUCCCAAUCCUGGUCCUGGGGACCCCAAGGUGCAGGUGUUUGUUUUUGCCCUAGCACUCACUCACCUGAUUCAGAUUAAAGACUUGAUGAUAGGAUAAUUAUGUCAAUCAGGUGUGUGAGUGGUAGGGUAACAUUUGAAUCAGGUGUGUGAGUGGUAGGGUAACAUGUGAAUCAGGUGUGUGAGUGGUAGGGUAACAUUUGAAUCAGGUGUGUGAGUGGUAGGGUAACAUUUGAAUCAGGUGUGUGAGUGGUAGGGUAACAUUUGAAUCAGGUGUGUGAGUGGUAGGGCAACAUUUGAAUCAGGUGUGUGAGUGGUAGAGUAACAUUUGAAUCAGGUGGGAAAAAACUCCUUGGGGACUCCAGGACUGGGACUGGUUAACAUUGAUGUAGGCUGUGAG
ensembl:lncRNA